GUUCCUUCCUUCAAGCAUGUUACAAAAACUAAUUUUUCCUUUAUGAUUGCAUGUGAAUUCAUAAAUUAUAACUACAACCAAGUAUAAACCAAAGAGCAUAUCAAACUUUCAUCCAUGUUUAUAAUUCUCUUUAACAGUCAUGUAAUUAAAGACCAAAUCCUCAUCAUUGUGUUGGAAGGUACCCUAAGACACAAAAUAAACAAACAAAAACAACUCUUUUUGGGUUUUUCAAAACAAUUUUUUUUUCAAAUUUUUAUGAAAUUUUCGGAUUUUUAUGUCAAAACAUACUGAAAACACUCCAAAACAGCUUAAAAACACUUAAACAGCAAGGAACAACACUAGAAGUAAUGGGUGAUAAUUUUCUACGAAUUUUCAUGCAAAACAGUAGUUACCAAUUCCCCCACACUUAAAUCGAACAUUGUCCUCAAUGUUUCAAGCAUAUACUCACACCAAAAAACAAGCAAAUAACAAACGACAAAUAAACAUGACAAAUAUGGCAAAGUAAAAACCAGACAGAGUAGAGUUUA
rnacentral:lncRNA from 1 species